rnacentral:rRNA from 1 species
UACAGAGGUCCCAAGCGUUGUUCGGAUUCAUUGGGCGUAAAGGGUGCGUAGGCGGCGCGGUAAGUCGGGUGUGAAAUCUCGGAGCUUAACUCCGAAACUGCAUUCGAUACUGCGAUGCUUGAGGACUGGAGAGGAGACUGGAAUUUACGGUGUAGCAGUGAAAUGCGUAGAGAUCGUAAGGAAGACCAGUGGCGAAGGCGGGUCUCUGGACAGUUCCUGACACUGAGGCACGAAGGCCAGGGGAGCAAACGGG